rnacentral:misc_RNA from 1 species
AACUCCUCCGCCGCGCGCGUUGCGCCCUGGAGGUCGCCGUCGGCUGCAAAAAGGAGGUCGAUAUCCGAUACGUAGUUGAGCUCUCUGCCGCCGAGUUUGCCCAUCGCUAUCACCGCGAGUCUCUCCGUCCCCCGGACCCCCUUCAGAGCGGCCUCGAGACAUGCGUCGGCCAGAUCGCUCAGCGCGCGACCGACCUCCUCCAGAGAGACAUCAGAGCCGAGAUCCCACGCCGCGAUCUGAGCGAGGAAGCAUCUCUUUGCCACACGCAGGUGCUCCAUGCCCCCGAGGGAGUAGGCAGACUGGAUCGCACUGCGGUACGCAACCGCAUCGGGAAGGUCAUCAUCGGAGAGCAAGCUGGUCGCCCACUCGUGGCUCUCGACGAGAUCGGCGAGGGG